UCCUUCAUGCGCGGCAACAAGAAGCGGGGAGAUAACAGAGAGAUCAAAAGCUUUCGACUGGUUUUUUCGUCAGAUGUACACGACACCGUUCUGGUCCAGUAAACCCGCAAAUGUCUUCUUCUUUCACCGGCGAUGAAACGGCUCCGUUCUUCGGCUUCCUCGGCCGCGCCGCUGCUCUUGUCUUUUCCUGUAUGGCGAGGCUAAGAGCGGCGCUGGUAUGGCGUCGAUGGGUGUGAUGAGGCCUGAGUUGUUAUGGCCAGUGUUUUGGGUAUUUAUGGAUUGAUCAUUGCUGUUAUUAUCAGUACUGGGAUCAAUCCAAAGGCCAAAUCGUACCAUCGUUUCGUUGGUUAUGCCCAUCUUUCAUCCGGUCUUGAUUGUGGCAUCGCCAGGCUUUCUGCCGGAAUGGCUAUCGGAAUUGUUGGUGAUGCUGGUGUCAGGUAUGGUGCUUUGAUCCCUCCCAUGUUCUUAACUUAGAUUGCACAUUCUUGGCUAAUUGAUUAACACCAGAAUGUUGUGUUGGUGGGAAA